rnacentral:rRNA from 1 species
AACGAACGCUGGCGGCAGGCUUAACACAUGCAAGUCGAGCGCAUCCUUCGGGGUGAGCGGCAGACGGGUGAGUAACGCGUGGGAACGUACCCUUUGCUACGGAAUAGCUCCGGGAAACUGGAAUUAAUACCGUAUGUGCCCUUCGGGGGAAAGAUUUAUCGGCAAAGGAUCGGCCCGCGUUGGAUUAGCUAGUUGGUGGGGUAAAGGCCUACCAAGGCGACGAUCCAUAGCUGGUCUGAGAGGAUGAUCAGCCACAUUGGGACUGAGACACGGCCCAAACUCCUACGGGAGGCAGCAGUGGGGAAUAUUGGACAAUGGGCGCAAGCCUGAUCCAGCCAUGCCGCGUGAGUGAUGAAGGCCUUAGGGUUGUAAAGCUCUUUCAACGGUGAAGAUAAUGACGGUAACCGUAGAAGAAGCCCCGGCUAACUUCGUGCCAGCAGCCGCCGCAG